UGCAACUGGUGUCACAAGCCAUAUGCUGCAGAAUCAACCUCUGGUACGUCACACUUAAGGACUCAUCGUAAAAAUUGUCCGGCACAACUUGUCUUCACAACCUAUUGCUCCAUCUCAAGUUCGCACAGAAUUGGACAAUUACUUGGACGAGCCCCUUAUCCGUAGAACAGCAGAUUUUGACAUUAUUAAUUGGUGGAAAGUUGGAGGUGCCAAGUAUCCUACUUUGCAGAAGAUUGCUCGUGAUAUAUUAUCCAUCCUUGUUACAUAUGUGGCAUCGGAAUCAGUCUUUAGUACUAGCGGAAGGUUACUAAGUGCACAUCGUAGUCGUCUUACACCAAGCAUAGCUGAAGCUCUUAUGUGUAUGCAAGCUUGGUCACGAGCGGACAUGUUAGGUGAUAUAAACUUUGCUCUGCAAGCAGUUCAAUCUGUUCUUGAGGAUGAGGAAGAAAUAAUGGAUGAAAAUGAGUCCAUCAUUAGUGAAGACUAAUUUGGAGCCAAGUGUGUUGGACAUGGCAUUAAAUUACUGAAGACUAAUUUGGAGCCAUGUAUCCCUACAUGUGGACAUGCGUCUGGGUCUGCCAUUACUAGCAUGCAUGUCAUUUAUUUAUUCAACUUCGGUUAUGAUGUUCAAUAAGAUCUUACAACUUUGAUUGUGAUGUAAUAUGAUUUUAAGACAAGAGUUCUACUGGGAGACUAUUUGAGUUGUCAUUGUGAGACUAUUUAAGAGUUGUCAUUAUGAUUUUAA